GAGGUUUUAGCUUAAUUAAAGUAUCUGCUUUGCACGCAGGAGAUGCGGGGUAAAGUCCCGUAAGUCUUA
rnacentral:tRNA from 1 species